rnacentral:rRNA from 1 species
GAUGAACGCUGGCGGCGUGCCUAAUACAUGCAAGUCGAGCGAACGGACGAGAAGCUUGCUUCUCUGAUGUUAGCGGCGGACGGGUGAGUAACACGUGGAUAACCUACCUAUAAGACUGGGAUAACUUCGGGAAACCGGAGCUAAUACCGGAUAAUAUUUUGAACCGCAUGGUUCAAAAGUGAAAGACGGUCUUGCUGUCACUUAUAGAUGGAUCCGCGCUGCAUUAGCUAGUUGGUAAGGUAACGGCUUACCAAGGCAACGAUGCAUAGCCGACCUGAGAGGGUGAUCGGCCACACUGGAACUGAGACACGGUCCAGACUCCUACGGGAGGCAGCAGUAGGGAAUCUUCCGCAAUGGGCGAAAGCCUGACGGAGCAACGCCGCGUGAGUGAUGAAGGUCUUCGGAUCGUAAAACUCUGUUAUUAGGGAAGAACAUAUGUGUAAGUAACUGUGCACAUCUUGACGGUACCUAAUCAGAAAGCCACGGCUAACUACGUGCCAGCAGCCGCGGUAAUACGUAGGCGGCAAGCGUUAUCCGGAAUUAUUGGGCGUAAAGCGCGCGUAGGCGGUUUUUUAAGUCUGAUGUGAAAGCCCACGGCUCAACCGUGGAGGGUCAUUGGAAACUGGAAAACUUGAGUGCAGAAGAGGAAAGUGGAAUUCCAUGUGUAGCGGUGAAAUGCGCAGAGAUAUGGAGGAACACCAGCGGCGAAGGCGACUUUCUGGUCUGUAACUGACGCUGAUGUGCGAAAGCGUGGGGAUCAAACAGGAUUAGAUACCCUGGUAGUCCACGCCGUAAACGAUGAGUGCUAAGUGUUAGGGGGUUUCCGCCCCUUAGUGCUGCAGCUAACGCAUUAAGCACUCCGCCUGGGGAGUACGACCGCAAGGUUGAAACUCAAAGGAAUUGACGGGGACCCGCACAAGCGGUGGAGCAUGUGGUUUAAUUCGAAGCAACGCGAAGAACCUUACCAAAUCUUGACAUCCUUUGACAACUCUAGAGAUAGAGCCUUCCCCUUCGGGGGACAAAGUGACAGGUGGUGCAUGGUUGUCGUCAGCUCGUGUCGUGAGAUGUUGGGUUAAGUCCCGCAACGAGCGCAACCCUUAAGCUUAGUUGCCAUCAUUAAGUUGGGCACUCUAAGUUGACUGCCGGUGACAAACCGGAGGAAGGUGGGGAUGACGUCAAAUCAUCAUGCCCCUUAUGAUUUGGGCUACACACGUGCUACAAUGGACAAUACAAAGGGCAGCGAAACCGCGAGGUCAAGCAAAUCCCAUAAAGUUGUUCUCAGUUCGGAUUGUAGUCUGCAACUCGACUACAUGAAGCUGGAAUCGCUAGUAAUCGUAGAUCAGCAUGCUACGGUGAAUACGUUCUCGGGUCU